rnacentral:lncRNA from 1 species
UCCGCUGUCUACAGGUGCUCGUUAUUCUGGCCAGUUUGUCGUGCUCUAUCUUCAACCACCUCUUUGUAGGUUGUCCCCUUCUCCCCCUCUCUUCUAUGCUUUCCAGGCCUAGGCUUACAUUUCUUCCUGUAUGAAGCGGCUGUUAGAUUUUGUUUGGACAAUGGAUGUAUCUGCUUUUUGUUCUCUUAUUGGUAGAAGCCUAGCAUGUAAAACUAUUAUCCCCUGCCUUUAUUUUUGUGCUUGCUUGGCAUUUGGAAUUGGGCAUUUUGGUCACUUCUAUAGAUCCUGGUAGUACCUAGCAUUUUGGUCACUUCUAUAGAUCCUGGUUGUGCUCAAAUUUACACGGGGUGGCUGUCUCUCUUCUAUACUUCUAUAGAUCAGGUUUCUCCGCUUAUGUUUAGCCUUUGUUAGGUAUACCUCUUUGCUGUCUUGAUGUGCGCAUGUGCUACCUUCUAAUAUUCAUGCCUCAUUGCAUUCUAAUAUUUUCCUUGCUUGUACUCAGGUUCCAGCUGUUAUUUCAAUGCAUCUUAUUCAUGGAUGCAUGCUUCACAUGCUCUUCUAGCAUAUGUUUGUUCUUGUGUUGCUUUCUCUUAUCUCCUAACUGCCUCUUGAGUGCAGGAAAAUGCCUCAAUUAAUUAGUUUGUCGCUCCGUUAGUCACCAUGGUCAGAUGAUGCUUCAGGUUUGCACUUCACAUUGAGGUAUUGGCCUGGUUACUAGCAUAGGUUUUCCUGUUGUGCCGCCUACUGCAAUUUCAUUAUUGAUUUGAUAGGAAAACUGGUGUUUAUCUACAUGAGGGACCUGGUUGUAUUACCUACUACAUGCAUCGUUAACUGGGCACCAAAAAACCUAGAUUGUGCAUCUCUGUUUGUUCACGUGGUGAUUAUCCUAUUGUUUUCGGCAUCAGUGAGUUAUCUCUUCCCUGUGUUUUUUGCGUGAAGUCUUAGCCAACACCCAAGGUUCUGUUCCUGUGUAAUUAUUUUGCAUUGUUUCAGUUUGUUGUAUUACGAUGCCUAUUUUGCAGUCACACAAUCCAAAUGUAAUAGUAGGGAGAAAGAUGAUGAUGUUGUGCUUUAUAUCACAAUUCAAAUUCUAGAGUCGCACUUUUUGUUGAUUAAUCAUUCUGACCAGUAAUGAUUAUUCCUCUUUGUUUUAUUGUAUUGUUGGCCAAUUAAAAAAAUUGUAGGUGUAUAUUUUCUGUAUGGUAUAUAUUAUGCGAGUUAUUUCUAACGCAUCUUGAUUUUAUUUUAGAAUCAUCUAACUCAAGCUCAUGCCUUUGAUCUUUGUGAACUAAAGCUUCUGUUAUAUUGGAUAUCAAAUUAUCUACACUUGAACUUAAGAUGUGAUGUAUCAUACUAGAUUUUCACUCCUUUAAAAAAUCUUAGUUAGCAUUCAGAUUUUUUUAGAAUAGAUGCUCCUAUAUUUUUGUCAGCGCUUGAUGUACUUUGUUUAAAUGUUUCUUCCUGGUAGGACCGAUUGUAAACAGUGGAUGAAUGCAUACCUUUUCAAGCUUAAGCAUUUGAUGUUUGGUGAUGUGGUAUCUUCUCUUUAAAGACGUUCCUACUACUUUCUUUUUUGAUAAAUAGACAAGUUGGAUCCAGUGUAUGUCCAUGUGUGUGCCUUGGUUCAGUACGCAAUGAAAUCUGGGAAAGUGGCUUCUGUUUAACAUUGUCAUGAAAGAUACAUUCACAUGUCUUGAACUUUCUAUCUUGGUUCUAUUUGUAUUGUUAGUUUCAAAAGAUAUAUUCACUUCUUUGCGACUUUUAUCUCUAUAACAUGUCUACUCUUCGUUUAGAUAUAUUUUUUAUUCCAUCUAUGUUGUUGUGAGGGAGCAUGCUUCUUAUGGGGAAUGGUGAUGAUUUCUUGAGCUUUCAUUUUGUUCUCCUUUCUAUCCAAAACAUAGUUUUCGCAGAGUCGAUGUAUGUGCCGGUUUGCCCGGAUAAUCCAUGUAGCGGUUAGUCUGUUUUUAUUCAUAUAAUUACUGGACUCCUAUAAAAAACACGGAGAUGUACUGCGCUAUAUGUUCUCUGAUCCGUUGAGCCCAAACAUGUACAAGUGGAUCUGAUCGUUAGAUUUUAAUUAUAUUUUGGACGUUGUCAUAGCUAGCAAUAUAUAGUGCAGUUUACUUUCUUUGUCCUCUUGUGGCCACUAACUAAAUCUUUUGUGUUUUCUUCUUUUGCUUAGGGCCCUAUGCUCCUAUAGCUUGAAUUAGGGUGGUGCCAGUGAUUCACAAGGUAAUUUCACCUCCUUUGAAAAUAAAGUGUCUCCGUGCUUCACUUUUGGCCACUUUGAUUCUAGUGCACAUAUGUGCAUUCCUUUUUUGUCAUUUGUGCGAAUUGUGUACUUCUACAAUGACAAAUCGGUAUACCUUAGCUGUAUGUUGUUGAGUCAUUUAAAAUGGAUGCAGAACCCUACAUUAUAAGUUGAUCAUGCUGAUUUAUAAUACCUCUGAUCCAUAAUAGGUGUCGCAGUUUUGAACAUUUUGGAUCGGAGGGAGUAGUUUUGUUGCCUACUAUUGGUGUAAAGCUCUUGCUCUAGGCUCACACGAUCUAAUUAUUGUUCUAUAUAGAACACCACCUUUUAGUUUUUUAUAAUCCCUCAAUUUUCUACAGAAAUAUGUUGCCCCAAUAUGCCUAAUUUUAUAUUCAGAGGUAGCAUUGAUGCACUUGCCUCCUUCAAAAGGCCAUAUGUGUUGCUUUGUGCUACUUCUCUUUCAUAUCCAGUUAUUUAGAAAUAGCUAUGGUAACCUUUUUCUAUUGCAUUCAUUUAGCUGCAUUUUAGAUUCAAUCUGUUUUCUUAACUACUUAUUAUAGUGUCACAUGAACCUUUCUUUUACUGGCCUACAUGAACAGUGUGAACACUGGUUCUUUAUAAAGGCGUUAUAAAGAUGUAGGUACUCUUCAAAGCAAUUAGAAAGAAAUAAAGCCUCAAUCAACGUAGUUCAGAGGAUAGAGCCCAUGGUGGCUACCAUUGAUGUAUGAAUUGUGAAGUACAAUCUUCUGCACUUUGCUCUACAGGCACAGUGUUACUAAUUUGUGUUCAAUCUCAGUAUUCCAUUUAUCUAAAUUUUGUAUAGUUUGCAUAGUUCUUAGGUUCAUUAGCUAAUUAUAUUGUUUUUGUAGAUCUUCCAUAUUAUCAUUAGCAAGGUGAAGUCAUUCAAGUAUUGGCCACUACUAUCUGCAUUAGCUUCGCCUCAGAAAAUAACCUUUUCACUUGGAAGGAGGAAGUAGGAGUUCUCAGUAAUGGUUAACUACAAGCUAUAGUAGAUGUUCUUUGAUUAACAAAGACAAAUGUCCUACUAUUAUCGAUGUUUCCAGAGCUUCGUUCUCAAUUUGUCUGUUAUCUCAUUAUGUUUAUGAGCAGCUCCAAAAUCUGACACUUAUGCUUGCCAGUAUGAAUUUCUUGGCUAUAUUUUAUAGAACUUAUGUCUUGACGCUUUGUACUGAACUUGAUGCAGUCCAAUUCAAGUCAGUUGUCCUGAGCAAGCACUAUGUCUUGCUUUUGGUACACUUUGUGCCUUUAUGCUUUGUAGUAAUGUUCAAGGCCAGUUGUCUUGGGAACAACUAUACCAUGCUUCUGGUAUAUCAUUAAUUUGUAUGCUCUAUGCUAAACUCAG